UGGCACUCCAGGUAAUGGGGGAAGGGGUGGAUGAGGGACAUCAAACAUUGAUGAGGGUGGUGGAGGUGGAGGAGGUGAGACACUAGACAUCGAUGGGGGUGAUGAAGGUGGGACACUAGACACCAAUUGGGGUGGUGGAGAUGGAGGUGAGGCACUAGUUGAAAAAGUGGUUGAUAAAGGUGAAGGAGGAAGUGAAGCACUAGAUAUCGAUGGGGGAGGAGGUUGGGUGUUAGAUGUUGAUGGGGGCGGUGGAGAUGGAGGAGGUGGGGCACUAGUCGUCAAAGUGGUUGGUGAAGGAGGAGGUGGGGUGCUAGAUAUUGAUGGGGGUGGUGGAGAUGGAGGAGGUGGAGGGAGUAGGGCACUAGUCAUCAAAGUAUUUGGUGAAGGUGAAGGAGGAAUUGAAGCACUAGACAUCGAUGGGGGAGGAGGUGGGGUGCUAGAUAUUGAUGGGGGUGGUGGAGAUGGAGGAGCUGGGGUACUAGUCAUCGAAGUGGUUGGUGAAGGAGGAGGUGGGGUGCUAGAUAUUGAAGAAGGUGGUGGAGAUGGAGGAGGUAGGGCACUAGUUGUCAAAGUGGUUGGUGAAGGAGAACGAGGAAUUGAAGCACUAGA
rnacentral:lncRNA from 1 species